rnacentral:lncRNA from 1 species
GUUGUCCUAGUGUGAGUAUGAAACCAAAUCAUUCACAAGUACCACUAGUCUGAUUAUUAGUAAUAAUCCACUUGUGAUAUAGCUUUUCUUUACUGACACAAAAUAUUGUUUGACACCAUGGUUGAAACAUUGGUCUUAGGCCAACACUCUCCAUUAUCUGUUGUUGCCAAGCCUUUGAGAGGUGUUUUAUGUGGGCAAAAGGUCCCUUCCUAUCUCUUUGGUCAAAGCAAAGGAGGAGUACAGAUGACUGAGAGAGUGAUCACGCUACUGUGCCCACCUACGAGGUAGAACUUGUUCCUGGGUUGGGAGAUGUUUUAUGACCAGGGUGCAGUAGAAAGAGCAUACAGCUAGCAGUAAAGAGAAGUGGUCCUGAUUGCAGCUCUGCCUCUAACUUCCUGAGUAACCUCAGGCUAGUCACCCAGUGACUGCUCCCCACAUUCCUUUUUGUAAGCUGCCAUGACUGAAUCAGACAAUAGCAUCUAAGUUUCUUCUGAACUCUCAUACUCAGGGAAGCCAAUGAUGUUGGCAGGAUGAGCUACAUAGUUAGUAGGACCCAGCGCAAAAUGAAAAUAUAGGGAUCCUUGAUAAAAAAUUAAGAAUUUCAAGAUGCAACAGCAGAGCAUUGUAAACUAAGCGCACAACCCUUCUGAGAUCAAGGCUUUCUGCAACUGCACAGGUCAUAGCCCUUGAAGCCAGCCUGGUGUCAGCUUCCCAUUAUGAAGCUGGUCUGUCAUUCAGGGCUCAGAAGUUGGAUCUUCCAGGCUGAAAGUGGAAGGAGAGCACAUGUUGUGCUAGUCACAGCCAGAGAUAAUGCAAAGAGGACUUAACAAGGGCCCAGGCACAACACAAAUUGUUAUGAAGAAGAGAAGAGGGCCACCUAGGGACUUAACACAAAAAUGAUCCUCUGUCCACAUCUCCUCUCCAGGUUUCAGUCAUGGUAAGGACUGUCCCAGAUUUCAGAGCCUUCAAAGAAGAUCUUAACUCUAAAACCUGGGCAAAGUCUGGGAUAGCAGUUUGUGUGCCACCUCACUCUCCUGUCUCUUUCUCUCUGAAUAAACAUCUUUUAUCAGGAAGCCCAGCAGAACACAGUCAAGAAGAAGGCAGUAACCUCUCAAGACACUAAGACUUGAUUCAGUGAUGUCAAGAAGUCAAAAGGGGGUUUGUCAACAGAGAAAAGCCAUAGCUACCCUCCAAAUUCUGCUUCUGUGAGUAUUUUUUCUACUCUUUUAAUUGCUUGAAGGAUCUCAUUAAAAUUUCCCAGUUAAAGUGAAAAUUGGAAGGACCACAGAGCAACUGUGAAAGAAUGGCUUUUAACACAAUUUCCAAAUGACAACACAAAAAAGGGAUGUUGCCAACCAUUGGUCCUCUAAAAAAUGAGAAUUCCAAGGAAGUGGGAAAUUUGACCUGAUGAUCUUCUGAAGUCCCUUCCUACCCUAAGUUCUAUGUAAUGUACAAAGACCAGGAUUUGCAAUUGCCCCAUGUCCUAGUCUUCUGAGGCACCUGGAAAACAAAGAUCCAGACUCUACUCAGUGCAUGGAAAUGUCCCUGAACCUUACCUGGAAAGAAAACAGCCCUGCCAGGUAGCCCCUGAAAGAUGUGUUUUGCAAUGGCAGCAGAUGGAAACUGUCCCCCACACCCCUUUGCAAAUCUAGCAAGCCAUCCUGCAAA